GAGCUCAACUUAAAAAGACCAACAAAAAAAAAAAACAAAUUGGGAUCGUAAGGGGAAAUUAGGGUUUGACAAUCGACAUGGCUACAAAAUCAAGCGAGGAAUCGUUGAUCGAGACGGAGCCAAUGGAAACUUCCACCGGCGUUGAUACGUCCUUGCUAGGGAAGCGCAAGUUGGAGGAAACAGACGACCAGGAGGAUUCCGACGAAGAGGAAGUCGACGGAGAUGAAGAGGAGGAGGAAGAGGAGGAAGGUAGUGAUUUAUAUUGGGAGAAGGAUAGUUUCGAUGGGCGGGAAUAUCAUCCCUCUGACGACAGCGAGUACUCAGACGAGGAUCUACAGGAAAAAGCACGUUAUUACAAUCGCACGGUCAUCGAAACCAAGGGUUUCUUUGAGUCAUCGGGUAAACUCCCCUUGUACACUUGGUCUGGAAUUGCUGUAGUCUCGCAUCGGGAUCUUGAAACGAAAAUGUAUGGAGGUAUCACGGGUCGUGAGUUCGUCGGGGACAUGGCAUGUGAAUGUGUUGAAAAACACAACCGAAGAAACAAUAAGAAUGUGAAAUUCGAGCAUGUAUUGAGGGCUAAUUUCGACCCAGGAGCGAAAACUAAGUACUACAUCAUCUUUGCUGCAAGAGAAUCUGACUCUCCUGAUGCGCCUCUCGUGGAAUAUCAAGCUAAGGUGGUUUGGUCUGCAGGCAUCACUUAUCCCAUCUUUUGCAGACCCGCUCCACCACCUAAUUAAACAGGGUUACAGGGGUGGUAAUGUAUAGCUCUCUUUGUUGGACUAGAAGAGAGAAUCACAUUUUAGUUGAUUAUUAAACAUAGCAUAAUAAUAACCUGCUAUGGAUUUCCUCUUAUUUGUGAUGCACAUUUAAAAAGAGUAACUGAAGCGAUGGAAGAGAGCAUUUAAAAGAGAUUCAACAAUACUUCUUGUUUAUGUUGUACAUUUAAACUAUUUGCAUAUUUCGUGGAUUUAGAAAUUAUAAUAAUCUUUGUUUUUUUUUUUGAAAAGAAAUUAUAAUAAUCUUUGAUUACUCUUGUAUGUAAUAUUACUAUUAUAAAUAUCAAAAUGUAACGUUUGAUGCA